GAUGAAGAACGUAGCGAAAUGCGAUAAGUAAUGUGAAUUGCAGAAUUCCGUGAAUCAUCGAAUCUUUGAACGCACAUUGCGCCCUCUGGUAUUCCGGGGGGCAUGCCUGUCCGAGCGUCAUUUGCAACCCUCAAGCCCGGCUUGUGUGAUGGGUGCCGUCCCCUACGGGACGCGCCCCGAAGGCAAUGGCGGCGUCGCGGUUAUCCGAUCAGCCAAAGUGUAUGGGGCUUUGUCACUCACUUUACGGCCCGGACCGGCGCCAGUCCGAAUCAAUCUUUUUUCUAAAGUUGACCUCGGAUCAGCUAGGGAUACCCGCUGAACUUAAGCAUAUCAAUAAGCGGAGGA
rnacentral:misc_RNA from 1 species